rnacentral:rRNA from 1 species
UACGUAGGGGGCGAGCGUUGUCCGGAAUCAUUGGGCGUAAAGCGCGUGUAGGCGGUCCGGUAAGUCCGCUGUGAAAGUCGGGGGCUCAACCCUCGAAUGCCGGUGGAUACUGUCGGGCUAGAGUGCGGAAGAGGCGAGUGGAAUUCCUGGUGUAGCGGUGAAAUGCGCAGAUAUCAGGAGGAACACCAAUUGCGAAGGCAGCUCGCUGGGACGUAACUGACGCUGAGACGCGAAAGCGUGGGGAGCAAACAGG